GAAGGUACAGGCCAGUGGUUGAGACCCUGCUUAGCAUGCACAAGGUCCUGGGUUCAAUUCCCAGUACCUCCA
rnacentral:tRNA from 1 species